CUGGCGGUUAGUAAGCCUUUAGCAGCCAAACGAUCAAGUUGGUUAUUUUGAGUGCAAACGGACGAAUUAAUACAGGAAAAUCAAGUAUACUGAAAAGAAAAGAAAAUACGUGGAACUUACAAGCAAACAUACACACACAGACAUAUUUGUAUUGAAGAGUUGAAGAAAAUUGGAAAUAAAAAUUAAUAGAAAUAAAGUGAUAGUGAGGCGCAUAAAAGACAUUGAAAUUAUUUUGUGAGUGGCUUAAUUUGCCUGUACAAUGGCUGAAGCCCAUUCUGCUGUGGCAUUUUCCUUUGCCAUCACCCACGAAGGCUUCGACAUCAACUAUGACCAGGAGGUGCUAAAUCUCGUCUGGAAUUCCGGUGUGCGUUCAUGGAAGAAACGCAUAGCACGUGCACGUAAUGGCGUACGUAACGGUGUCUAUCCGGCGCAUAUACAAAGCCUAUGGCUCAUUACGGCCAUUGCCAUGGGUCUGCAUUUCUCCGGUUUUGCAGUACCAUUUGAUCUCGUCCAUAGAAUACUGGUGCAUCUGCCAGCCAAUACGGUUAAUUGGCAGGUGACAGCGUGCUUUGGUGCAGCACUAAUCAUUUGGCUUUCCAUAUGCUUCACAAUGCGUUAUACGCUGAAAUUGCUGCUCAUGUACAAAGGUUGGAUGUAUGAGUCGCGAGCGCCGGGCAGUAAAGUGUCGUUGAAGACCAAAGUGUGGGCGGGUGUAGUUAAAGUACUCUCCAGCUGGAAUACACCAGGGCUAUACAGUUUUCAAGGUUCACUGCCGCGACUACCGGUGCCCGCGUUGCACGACACAAUGCAACGGUAUUUACGUUCGGUACGUCCUCUACUGGAUGAUGAGAAUUUCGCGCGUAUGGAGGGUUUAGCCAAGGAAUUUGAGGGCACGAUUGGCAAGAAAUUACAAUGGUAUCUAACGUUGAAAAGUUGGUGGGCCACCAAUUACGUUUCCGAUUGGUGGGAGGAAUAUGUUUAUCUGCGCGGACGUAGUCCUUUGAUGAUCAACAGCAACUUCUAUGGCACUGAUGCGAUUUUCAUGAAUUUAACAAAUAAUCAAGCAGCGCGCGCAGCCAAUGUUGUGUACUUGUUGUUGGGAUUCAGACGUUCAAUUGAACGCCAAGAAUUGCAGCCGAUAAUGGUGCAAGGCAUGAUACCGCUUUGUUCGUGGCAAUAUGAACGCACAUUCAAUACGGUGCGAGUGCCCGGUUUAGAAACUGACCGCAUAGUACACUAUCGCGAUUCCAAUCAUAUUGUUGUGUUGCACAAAGGACGUUACUUUAAGGUGGUUAUCUAUUACAAAGGUCGCAUUUUGCGUCCAUGUGAGAUACAAAUACAAAUGGAAGAAAUACUGAACUCCAAAGCCACCCCGCUGCCCAGUGAGGAACACUUGGCGGCGUUAACCACAAUGAAUCGUUCGAAAUGGGCUGAAAUACGUAAUGCGCAUUUUGCGCGUGGCGUAAAUCGCGUUUCACUUAACCUCGUAGAGUCUGCUGCCUUUGUACUGUCAUUGGAUGAUGAAGCAUAUGAAUUUGAUUUGGCGCAUCCUGAAUUAUUGGAUAAAUUUGGCAAGACAUUAUUACAUGGCAAUGGUUGCAAUCGUUGGUUUGACAAGAGCUUCACCGUUUGUGUUGGUUCAAAUGGCCGUGUGGGUUUCAAUGCCGAACAUACUUGGGCCGAUGCUGCUGUAAUGGCUCACGUAUGGGAGAAUCUUGUUAUGGACGAUGCGACCACCAACGGGGCUGAUGCACCGGUUAUGGGUCAUCUUUGGGAAUAUAUUUUCGGUGAUGAUAUAUAUGGAUACGAUGAGGUUGGUAACACAAAGGGAAAACCCGAAUUUCAACCACCAUCGCCCACACGUUUGAGUUGGGAUCUCACAGCUUUGCAACCACAAAUUGAAGAGGCGACAUUAGAUGCUACCAAGCUUAUAAAUGAUGUGGACCUACGCAUUCUGGUACAUAACCAGUACGGUAAAGGUUUCAUGAAAAAGUGUCGCCUAUCUCCUGAUGCAUAUAUACAAAUGGCACUACAAUUAGCUUAUUACCGUGACGCUGGUCGAUUCUCAUUAACAUACGAAGCAUCUAUGACACGCUUAUUCCGUGAGGGACGCACUGAAACCGUGCGUCCUUGCACAAUUGAAUCAGCAGCUUGGGUGAAAGCAAUGGAAGACAGUAAUACAACGAGCGAGGAGCGCGUAAAACUUUUACAGCAGGCAUGUGAUCGUCAUCAGCUUGGCUACCAAGAUGCCAUGUGUGGACGUGGUAUUGAUCGUCAUCUGUUUUGUCUUUAUGUAGUUUCUAAAUACCUAGAAGUUGAUUCACCAUUCCUCAAUGAGGUGUUGAGCGAGCCGUGGCGCUUGUCCACCAGUCAAACUCCACACGGGCAAACGCCGAAAAUGGAUUUGAAGAAACAUCCAAACUGUAUCAGUUCUGGUGGCGGUUUCGGCCCAGUCGCUGACGAUGGCUACGGUGUGUCGUAUAUAAUAGCGGGCGAAAACUUAAUAUUCUUCCACAUAUCAGCUAAAUUAAACUGCAAACAGACGGAUGUGCAUCGUUUUGGCGAUAAUAUCUGUAAAGCAUUGGCCGACAUACGUGCAAUGUUUGAGGAGCAUUUUAAAAACCAAUCAUGCCAAGGAGAAUCUAAAGCAAACAACGGGACUGCCUCAACGAAGCCAAAUAAGGCGAAAUUAGUAAAAUAAAUUUAUUAUACAUACGUAAAUACUACAUGCAUACUGAAAUUAUUGUUAGAACUUUUAGAACUUAGUUGUAAGUGUUAAAAUAUGAUAGUUGAUUUGUAUCAUAAUUAUAUUUUUUGUAUACCGUAAGUCAAAGCAAUGAAGUCAAAUUAUUGAUUUUCACAAAUUGUGAACAAUUUUAAGACGUUAUUUUUUAAAUUUAUUUUAAGAAAUUUAAUAAAAAAUUAAAAAAAAAAAACAAUAUUUUUAAUUAAUAAACGGUUAGUGCCGCCUUCUAUCCCGAUCAUUUCGAGAGUCGCGGUUGUCAUAACGCCGAUCUUUAUAAUCAUCACGCCGGUAGUCAUCUCUAUAAUCAUCACGUCCACUACGGUAAUUAUUUGUGCCGCCUGAACGAUCAUCCCAGUGUCGAUUACUGCUUGAUGUCGAAGUAACACCAAAACGAUCACGCUCACGAUCGCGUUCACGUUGUCUACUGUAAUCUUCUAACUCGGUAUCAUAAUCACGAGCACGACCACUUCUUUGAUCACGCGCACCAGUAGGACUACGCGACCGUGAACGUGAGUGAUCUUUACGUGAUCUUUUCUUAGCCGAAGAAGAUGAUUUAUUUUUGUCAUCAUCUCGCUCUGCACCACCACCAUCGUCAUCGCUAACUACAUCGUCAUCUAAAUCUUCAUCCAAGGAGGAUACUUUCGGUUCAAGUUCAUUAUUUUCCUCAAGUACAGCACGUUUUUGUAUACGAGCGUUGUACAAAAUUUAUCGAUAAGUUUAAUCGAUGUGUGUCAAAUACUUAACGAAGACUUAAGAUGUGAUCAUAUUGGCAGCAUAGAAAAACUGAACAAACUUCAUGAUUGAUUUUACAACUCUAUAUCAAGAUCAUUUCCUACUAAAUACUCUGGUGCAUUUUCAUUGGCCUUGGCAGCACAAAAAAAUUUAAAUUUGCACUGACAGAAAGAAAAAAAGGUAAACAAAGGGGAUCAAUUGAAAUGUAAAUAGAUACUGCAAUUAUGGGAACAAAAUUAUUAAAAUAAUUUAUAUUUUUUAGAAAUAGCUCAUACAUAUAUUUACUUGCAGUAAAAUGAUAAAAUUAAAUCGAAAAUUUCACAAAUUGUGGCUCUCUUUGAACUGCACAUAUUUGUUGUUGUAUGUCACAUUGUUUAUGAAGCCUUUGGAUAUUGGGCAUUGGAAUCAUUGUGAAAUUUGCACACUACAAUUACAUAUAUUUCGCAAUGAAAACAUUUCAUAAAAUAUAUUUGAAACUAAUUCGUUGUAUUUUUAUAAAAACUAAGGUAAGUUUGAGCAUAUAUAUGUAAUAUGCCGCAUUGUUAAAAGUACGCAAAACAACAAAAUAUAAUAGAUAAUUUUAAUUGUUUACGUUGCAGUUUGUGGUAGAGCGUAUUUGGUUUUAUUCUAUGACCUAUUCAAAAAACGAGCAGAUACGCCAAUAUUAAUACAUAUGUAAAUGUGCCGACAUUUUCUUUAUCACAAUUUUGACUUCAAAAUACAACUCUAUUUCUACGAGCACAAAGUAAAAUAUAAACAUGCGAUAUGUGUUUCAAAAUUAAAAAUUAAUAUUUUUGCCCAUUAGAAAGCGAUUGGAAAUAUUAUUUGGUAAAGUAUAUAUGUUUACAUUAUUUUACUUUUCCAUUUUGUUUCGUACGAUAAAAUAAUCAACCACAGUGCAUUUGUUAUUUAAAUUCAAGUUGCUAAUCCAUACACAAUUGUCACAUAAUGGUUUAAGCGAUUUAUAAACCCAUCAAUUAGCCCAUUCAAGCAAAUGUUUCAUGUCCGGAUCAUCUAUAUAGCAGUUAAACAAACUCAUUAGAUUUAAAAUCAUCAUUCUCAGAUAACUAAUAAUUUACCAUCUUCCUGUGCUGUUGUAGCAGGUGCAGUAGCUUUCUUUUUCUCGGGAAUUUUCUCCGGCAUUUCGUCGGCUGGAACUUCGGGUAAUGUAACAUUUGGCUCUGGUAUACCAAUAACUUUCUUAUCGAACUCCUCUUGUUCUAAUUCAUCCAAUUCACGUUCCAGA